GACGAACGCUGGCGGCGUGCCUAAUACAUGCAAGUUGAGCGCUGAAGGUUGGUACUUGUACCGACUGGAUGAGCAGCGAACGGGUGAGUAACGCGUGGGGAAUCUGCCUUUGAGCGGGGGACAACAUUUGGAAACGAAUGCUAAUACCGCAUAAAAACUUUAAACACAAGUUUUAAGUUUGAAAGAUGCAAUUGCAUCACUCAAAGAUGAUCCCGCGUUGUAUUAGCUAGUUGGUGAGGUAAAGGCGCACCAAGGCGAGGAUACAUAGCCGACCUGAGAGGGUGCUCAGCCACAUUGGGACGGAGACACGGCCCAAACGCCUACGGGAGGCAGCAGUAGGGAAUCUUCGGCAAUGGACGAAAGUCUGACCGAGCAACGCCGCGGCAGUGAAGAAGGUUGUCGGAUCGUAAAACUCUGUUGGUAGAGAAGAACGUUGGUGAGAGUGGAAAGCUCAUCAAGUGACGGUAACUACCCAGAAAGGGACGGCUAACUACGUG
rnacentral:rRNA from 1 species